rnacentral:rRNA from 1 species
AAUACCGCAUAAUAUCUUCGUUAUGAGAAAGCGGAGAUCAAAGGAGCAAUUCGCUGGAAGAGGGGGUCGCGGCUGAUUAGCUAGUUGGUGGGGUAACGGCCCACCAAGGCUUUGAUCGGUAGCCGGCCUGAGAGGGCGCACGGCCACACUGGAACUGAAACACGGUCCAGACUCCUACGGGAGGCAGCAGUGGGGAAUUUUGCGCAAUGGGGGAAACCCUGACGCAGCAACGCCGCGUGGAGGAUGAAGUCCCUUGGGACGUAAACUCCUUUCGACCGGGAAGAUUAUGACGGUACCGGUGGAAGAAGCCCCGGCUAACUUCGUGCCAGCAGCCGCGGUAAUACGAGGGGGGCAAGCGUUGUUCGGAAUUAUUGGGCGUAAAGGGCGCGUAGGCGGUGCGGUAAGUCACCUGUGAAACCU